rnacentral:rRNA from 1 species
UACAGAGGUGGCAAGCGUUGUUCGGAAUUACUGGGCGUAAAGGGCGCGUAGGCGGCCUUCUAAGUCGGACGUGAGAGCCCCAGGCUUAACCUGGGAACUGCGUCCGAUACUGGGAGGCUUGGAUUCGGGAGAGGGAUGUGGAAUUCCAGGUGUAGCGGUGAAAUGCGUAGAUAUCUGGAGGAACACCGGUGGCGAAGGCGGCAUCCUGGACCGAGAUCGACGCUGAGGCGCGAAAGCUAGGGGAGCAAACGGG